GAAGCUUUGCAGGCAUUUCCUUGACAUUCUAGAACCUUACGAUCACUUCCGAAAUUCCGUAAAGGCGCAGCGAAUGGAAUAACAAACACCCCCACCCCACGUAGAAGAUCAAAACGGGUCUCUCUUCUCCAUCUGCGUUCGCACCACUUCAGGAGCGCAAAGGGUUAAGCGUUUCCCUAUGCAAAUGAAGUCGGAGUUGGCAGCCACGUGUGUCGCUCGCGAGGGGAAGGAAAGCAAGCGCUGAUCGCUCGCUUCGCUCUCGGUCUUUGCAGCAGCCCGCUGGGACAAUCAGCGGCCCAGCAGCUGGCUGGCUGACUGCGAUUCCCUUACCUAUUCCAGCGUGGAAGGCAAGAUUUUGUUUAACCCGGGCAGGCUGGGCAGUGCCUGAACAACCAGGGGACUCCGCGGAGCCUUGCUCGGCAGCAAGCAAGGCCUCUUUUUCGUGGCGUCGUUCGUUUUGUUAUCAGAGAGAGUCACAUGAUAGGGAGCGGAGGGCAUUUCCCAGCAAAUGCAUGGAGUUUCAGCGAGCCCGCUUACAUAGUGGAGUCCACACAUUCAGGAUCUCUACUCCAUGACUGCAACGUCAAGUGAUGACGUGCAUCAAUGUGUGAAAACUAUCAUAGCAGAACUAACAUCACGGAUGAAGCUUCUCUGUAACCUGGCAGCACCUCAUACACAAUAAUCUUCGAUGAAGGCCAUUCUCAUUUCAUUCAGGAGUCAUCACAGAAUAAGCCAUCCAGCGGUGUGUAUUGACUGCAAAAGAGGCAGAAAGAGGGCUGGAGGAGGAGGGAGACCACUGUCGCAGCUACAAUCCUGGCAGCACAUCUGGAGAAAGGUCUGCAAAACGUUCGGAUGCAAAGUGCCUACCAAGAUGUUUGAAAGGUGUAGCCUAGCCUCUGUCAUUCUUUGGAGCACCUGCCUCUAUGGACAGCAAGGUUGUGCAUUUGUGGAUUAAAUGUGGCAUGUGUGUGUGA